GGUGAGCAUCACUGCGUCUCUCCAAGCAAGUCUGAGCAAUUCCCCUGGGGUGUCCUCUUGCAGCAAGGAGAAGAAAAAGAAGCUCUCCCUCAAGCUGGAGUCACACGGGCGAGGUGCCUCCUUCCAACACUUGUCAGAAAAAAUGACCGGUUUCUUUUACAAGCAUUUGCAUUGCAAGGCAGAGGCAGUCUUCUCUGCUUCCUCAAAAGAUUGACCAAAAAGUGGGAGGAGUGGACACAUUUGGCAAGGCACCACCACUGGGUUCUGCAUCUCUAACCUCCACUUUACCUGGCAAGUGCCUCUGGGACUUUUCUCCCAGCUGCUCCAUUUUUCAUCAGUGACAAUCAAAAGGAAGACGACAUGACAUCUGUGUGUGGACAUCCCCAGUGAAUCACAAGGACGUGUGGUGCAGGCUUUUAUGUUGCAGCAAUUGCAGUCAAAGCAACCACCAUGCCAAUGCCAGUCACAGCAGCCUUUUCAUCAACUCCAGGCUUGUGAUUUGAUUCUUUCCAACGUUUCUCUCCAAAGAAGC